rnacentral:rRNA from 1 species
UGGGGAAUAUUGGACAAUGGGCGAAAGCCUGAUCCAGCCAUGCCGCGUGAGUGAUGAAGGUCUUCGGAUUGUAAAGCUCUUUUAGCAGGGAAGAUGAUGACUGUACCUGCAGAAUAAGCCUCGGCUAACUUCGUGCCAGCAGCCGCGGUAAUACGAAGGAGGCUAGCGUUGUUCGGAAUCACUGGGCGUAAAGCGCGUGCAGGUGGAUUUAUAAGUCAGAAGUGAAAGCCUGGGGCUCAACCUCAGAACUGCUUUUGGUACUGUAGAUCUAGAGUACGGGAGAGGAUCAUGGAAUUCCUAGUGUAGGGGUGAAAUCCGCAGAUAUUAGGAGGAACACCAAUGGCGAAGGCAUUGAUCUGGAACGAUACUGACACUGAGGCGCGAAAGCGUGGGGAGCAAA